UGGGGAAUUUUGGACACUGGGGGAAACCCUGAUCCAGCCAUCCCGCGCGUGCGAUGAAGGCCUUCGGGUUGUAAAGCACUCUUGGCAGGAAAGAAACGUCAUGGGUUAAUACCCCGUGAAACUGACGGUACCUGCAGAAUAAGCACCGGCUAACUACGUGCCAGCAGCCGCGGUAAUACGUAGGGUGCAAGCGUUAAUCGGAAUUACUGGGCGUAGAGCGUGCGCAGGCGGUUCGGAAAGAAAGAUGUGAAAUCCCAGAGCUCAACUUUGGAACUGCAUUUUUAGCUGCCGGGCUAGAGUGUGUCAGAGGGAGGUAGAAUUCCGCGUGUAGCAGUGAAAUGCGUAGAUAUGCGGAGGAACACCGAUGGCGAAGGCAGCCUCCUGGGAUAACACUGACGGUCAUGCAAGAAAGCGUGGGGAGCAAACAGG
rnacentral:rRNA from 1 species